rnacentral:rRNA from 1 species
UGCCUAAUACAUGCAAGUCGAACGAGAAAGUGUAGCAAUACAUUAGUAAAGUGGCAGACGGGUGAGUAACACAUAGGUAACCUCCCCUUGAGAUGGGAAUAACCUUCCGAAAGGAGGGCUAAUACCAAAUAAGACCACGGGAACCACGGUUCCUGAGGUUAAAGAUGACCUCUAUUUAUAAGUUAUCGCUUAAGGAUGGGCUUAUGCACCAUCAGCUAGUUGGUAAGGUAACGGCUUACCAAGGCUUUGACGGUUAGCUGAUCUGAGAGGUUGAUCAGCCACACUGGAACUGAGACACGGUCCAGACUCCUACGGGAGGCAGCAGUAGGGAAUAUUGCGCAAUGGAGGAAACUCUGACGCAGCGACGCCGCGUGGGUGAUGAAGGUCUUCGGAUCGUAAAGCCC